CCGACGGCGCUGCUCUGGGGGCUUGCAGGGCUGGGGGAGGGCGGGGACGCGAGCGCCGCGCCACUCACCCCGGGUUGACGCGCCCUCGCCCCUCCCCCGCCUUCUCCAUCGUCCUCCUGGAGAACAGGGCUCGGAUUUGAAAUGUACGCCCAGUGACCAGUGAAGACCUCCGGCUCAACACAGAAAAAUGGAAGCUUUGGUCCCCAGUCGCUCCGGCGAAGAACCAAAGAUCACUGCAGUCUGAUUUUUACAGACUCCGUACCACUGUUGCGGCCUGUGAUUCUGAGGUGCAAAAUUGGCCAGCCCAGAGAGGUAAUUUUCGGGAAUAAACUCGUGCUUUGCUGAUGGAAUGAAACAUACCGGGGCCACACUCAGAAUAGAACGUGCUUGGUGUGGCGAUCCCUGGGGAGUCGCUAACAAGAACCCAAGAACUUGGAGCUCCUUAGUGAAGGCAGGAGCCUUCAGAACAUGGAGCCGAAAGGCUGUGCUGAGUGGCAGGCUGUGAACAUUUGGGGGGUAUGCAAAUAUUCCCUGGAAUAUUUAAAGGAUGCCUGCACUCUCGUGCAGCAUUUGAUAAGUGGCGGUGGAGGACCAGUUUUGGCACAGGAGGGGAGGAAAAAUAGUCAUAAUUCAGACGUUUUACCCAGGGCAGUUUAGGUUAUAUCUGAAUGGAAAAUGGAAGUUGUUUGGAAAUCUGCUCAGGACACACAGGCAGGUGGGAAACCUGACCAUCACUAGUGAACUGAAGGACACUGUCUUUGUGGCCUCAGUAACCUUUUUGUGCAAAACUUGGAGGUUUAGGCUGUCAGGGAAGCUUUCAGGUCACUUUCAGAUUUGAAGUCCAGUUAAAGGAAAGGUAAGUAGGAAUUUGCUGAGGUUCUUUUGCUCAGUGUAUUGGGCCAGGUUCUUCAGCUGCAAGCAACAGAAACUCUCUGGGAAUUUAUCGGCAGGACAUCGGGCGCACUGAGGAUCAAAAGAAAAGCUGAGUGCCUGAGUCCUGCAAAGGAGGGGACCCAGGGCAAUGCUGGGGACCUGGGUAGCAGGACUUAAAUGCUGUCUCUGGGGCUUUACCAACCAUCAGGGUCUAACCUUUUUUGGCCUUGUAUUGCUCUAUUCUAGCUUCGAAAUUUCCGGGUGAACUGGGUCUAAUCGACCCUAUCAUGGGUCCAGUACCCACUCCUUGGGCAGGGGAGCACAGGGAGCCUGAAUUAACUGGCCCCCCAAGACUAUGCAACGGGGAGUGGGUAGGGAGAAAAGAAGAACAACUCCUCCCCCAAAAGUGUGCUGUUACCCCAAAAUGGGGGCAAAAAUGCUGGAUGGACUAGCAUAACAGAUUUCUCUUACUCAGAGAUAAUGAAUAAAAAGGUGACAAUUUGGAUUGUCACACGGCCUAGUUUUUGAGAUCAUAAUGAGCAUGAGUAUGACAUUUGGUUUUCUUAGCCUGAUCCUAUGGAACAUUUGCUUAAAUAUUCCAGUCGGCUGGUGUAGGGACAAGCAUUUCUACCUGUGGUCCAUGACUUGGCCUUAGUGCAAGAUCCUGGCUAUUUCAGCCAUUUGUCCUAUCCACUCUUGGUUAGAUUGGAAUGAACAGGAUUAAGUGAAGCUGAAAGGACUGGAAUGAUGACACUGCCGUCUAUCUUUUCAGUGUGGGCGUCAUAACCAUGAUUUUUUUGUUGUUGUUGUUGGUCAGGGUUCUUUGCACAUGUUCCUUGGACAAGCAGGGCAAAGGAACAGGAGGAAUAUGAGGGGAAUUGACAGUGACCUUUAAAAACGG